UGAGCAAUCUGCCUAGAUGUGGGGGAUAGCCGGCCCAACGGCCGGGUAAUACCGCAUACGCUCUCCUGGUGGCAUCACCGGGUGAGGAAACUUUCGAGGCGUCUAGAGGAGCUCGCGGCCUAUCAGCUAGUUGGUGAGGUAAUGGCCCACCAAGGCGACGACGGAUAGCCGGCCUGAGAGGGUGACCGGCCACACUGGGACUGAGACACGGCCCAGACUCCUACGGGAGCAG
rnacentral:rRNA from 1 species